CUCUCCCUCUUUCUUCAGGCUUAACACAUGCAAGUCGAGCGGGCACUUCGGUGUCAGCGGCGGACGGGUGAGUAACACGUGGGAACGUACCCUUUGGUUCGGAAUAACGCUGGGAAACUAGCGCUAAUACCGGAUACGCCCUUUUGUGGAAAGGCUUGCUGCCGAAGGAUCGGCCCGCGUCUGAUUAGCUAGUUGGUGGGGUAAUGGCCUACCAAGGCGACGAUCAGUAGCUGGUCUGAGAGGAUGAUCAGCGACACUGGGACUGAGACACGGCCCAGACUCUUACGGGAGGGAGCAGUGGGGAAUAUUGGAAAGUGGGGGGAAGCAUGAUCGAGCCAUGCCGGGUGAGUGAUGAAGGCCUUAGGGUUGUAAAGCUAUUUUGUCCGGGACGAUAAUGACGUUACCGGAAGAAUAAGCCCCGGCUAACUUCGUG
rnacentral:rRNA from 1 species